AGAGCCAGUGGUUUCAGCAUAACUCUCUGCUUCCGGACUUUCCAUCCAGGUGUGCUUCCUACAGUUCAAUAGAUAAAUUGACCACAAACUUCCCACCCUUUCUUUGAACACCGAGCCAGCAGGUCUCGCUCAUGGUCCGUCCGCGACAGGUAGCCGAACCUCGUUCCUUCACCAUUGCUUUUACAGGUGCCAAAACGUCUUUGGAAUAAGUGAGGCUUCUUUUGACCCUCGUGUGUUUUAUACCUCCGGUGUUUACCACUUCGGGCGUUUCUUCUGGAAAAAACAAGCAGAUUCAAGGCUCAGAGUUGGGUUUGAUUAAGUACCCGCUGAAAAUAACGUAUGUAUCGUAUUCAUCGCUGAAGACGGCAUUGUCGCG